GAUGAACGCUAGCGGCAGGCCUAAUACAUGCAAGUCGAACGAGAUUAAGGAGCUUGCUCCUUAUGAAAGUGGCGCACGGGUGCGUAACGCGUAUGCAACCUACCUUAAUCAGGGGGAUAGCCCGAAGAAAUUCGGAUUAACACCGCAUAAAAACACAGGACAGCAUUAUCCAAUGUUCAAAUAUUUAUAGGAUUAAGAUGGGCAUGCGUGUCAUUAGCUAGUUGGCGGGGUAACGGCCCACCAAGGCGACGAUGACUAGGGGAUCUGAGAGGAUGACCCCCCACACUGGUACUGAGACACGGACCAGACUCCUACGGGAGGCAGCAGUAAGGAAUAUUGGUCAAUGGAGGCAACUCUGAACCAGCCAUGCCGCGUGCAGGAAGACUGCCCUAUGGGUUGUAAACUGUUUUUACCCGGGAAUAAACCUAAUUACGUGUAAUUAGCUGAAUGUACCGGAAGAAUAAGGAUCGGCUAACUCCGUGCCAGCCGCCGCGGUAAGAC
rnacentral:rRNA from 1 species